GCUAGACAUAAUGGCACAAGCCUAUAAUCUCAGCCACAGGGGAGGCUGAGGCUAAUGGAUUGCUGGAGCUCAGGAGUUCUGAGCUGCAGUGAGCUAGGGCUAAUUGGGUGUCUGUAUUAAGUUCGUCACUAGUAUUAUGAGCCCCCAGAAAUGAGAGGGGAAGGCCAUGAGGUUGCCUAAGGAGGGGUGAAGCAGCCUAGGUUGGGAACAGAGCCAGCUGGAACUCCUGUGCCAGUAAAGUGGGAUUUGGCUCGAGUGUAGCCUCAGCACUUCUAGCCUGGGUGAGAUAUGGAGACCCAGCCUGA
rnacentral:SRP_RNA from 1 species